CUACGGGUGGCAGCAGUCGAGAAUCUUCCACAAUGCACGAAAGUGUGAUGGAGCGACGUCGCGUGCGAGAUGAAGGCCUUCGGGUCGUAAAUCGUUUUUAUAAGGGAAGAAUUUAGAUGACAUUACCUUAUGAAUAAGGGGUUGCUAAUUGCGUGCCAGCAGCAGCGGUAAUACGCAAACCCCAAGCGUUAUCCGGAUUUAUUGGGCGUAAAGGGUGGGUAGGCGGAUAUAGCAGUCAGUCGUUAAAUCACUGGGCUCAACCCAGUAAUCGCGAUUGAAACACUAUGUCUAGAGAUAAGUAGAGGUCAACGGAACUCAUGGUGUAGCAGUGACAUGCGUUGAUAUCAUGGGGAACACCAAAGGCGAAGGCAGUUGACUGGGCUUUAUCUGACGCUGAGCCACGAAAGCGUGGGGAGUGAAGGGGAUUAGAUACCCCUGUAGUC
rnacentral:rRNA from 1 species